GAUCUCAAGGGGUUACUUCGAUAACAAUGGAUGACAAAACAGGGAAAAUGACAGUAGUUGGAGAAGUUGAUACACCGGUUCUCGUGAUGAAGCUAAGGAAACUGUGUAAUGCAGAAAUCGUUUCGGUUGAAGUUGUUAAACCACCUGAGAAAAAGCCUGAACCGGCGAAACCGGCUCCAGCUAAACCUGAUACAACUAAACCGGCUGAAAUUGUUGCCUUUCCAGUUACGCAUAUGAACUACCCGUACCAAUAUCAUUCGUCCUAUGCGAAUUCGCACUAUCAGCCAUACGGGAAUUCUAGAGUUGUGGUGGAGGAACCAAACACUUGUGUGCUUAUGUGAUUUAACAAGCUAGAAUUAUUUUAAGUAAUGUUAGUUGUGUAAUACUUAGUUUUGGUGGGAGUGUAUUUUUUUUUGUGGUAUGUUGUAAUGGACAUUAGUCGCGUGAGCUCAUUCAAGGGAAACAAAUCAUUUAUGUGUGAUAAAGUGGAGCUUUAACACUAUGUUAACUUAAAAUUUUUUUUACAAUUGUAUAGAACUUCCUGAGACGGGCAUAACCUUUAGACUACCAACGAUGAAUUGAAUCAAAUCCAUACGACUAAAACUACUCUACUACAUUUUCAAAUGAUACACGUACGGGUUACUUCGCCUCUCCGGACUCAACACAGAAGAAAGAUACACAGACGAGUCUCUAGUCAUAAUCCCGGACCCGAAAUCCGUGUCGCUGGCUUGUCUGUUUAAUUGGGCUGGGAGACCCAAAACUCCAUGUCCUCAUCGCCGCUGCAUCCUCAACUUUCAAUGAAGCUCGAUACUUUACCAAAGCGGGUUUGUAAUGGUCGCCGAUCAAAGUCAAUGAAGCUCUAAAACCUGUGCAAGAUUUUAUCUAUGCUACAUUUAAAUUCUGCAUUAUAGUGACAUAGUGUCUAAAUGAACAACAAUGCUAAUUUCCAGAUGCAGCGUCUUAAUAGAGAAACGAACAGGGCCGUAAUAAGCUCAAUUAUUUUCUUCUUUUUCUUCGACCCCAUAAUUGUUCUGGGCCAGACCUGUCUUCAUGAUACUUUGUUUACUCUGUUUUUCAUGUUGGUUACCUCCCAAAUCAUUUGACUUCCAUCAUUAUAUGAACGAAACUUCGACAAACAAAAACUAGAAGAAAAUAAGAUAACUAUAGAAAGAUUGAGGCAAAGAUUCGUUUUACACUUUUAAGCAAAUGUUAUUGGCCAGACUGUAGAGACAUUAGCGUUGCAAACUCUUUGCUCUUCCCAAUUUGGGAAAUUUUUCAAAAUCCCACAGCAAGGUCUUGUGUAAUUACUGCACCAGAAUAUAUUACAACGCUAAACUGGAGCUUGAGGGUUAAGACAACAAAAAAACAACGAAAAGCACAUUAUGGGUUGAACUUUUCUUCUCUAAAGAUGUGAUGUAAAUUGAUAUAUGAAACUCACCCACACCAGCGUACACGAUGUGAUUCUUUGUGAUGUGAAUAUUUCAUAGAGUACUCAUGGGGGUAGAAUGUCAUUAUCUAAUACAACUAUCUCGAUUUUGAACCGGUUUGUUUUAGUCAAGUCUUGUCUGUUGCCUAUAUUUUAUCUUUCCUUUCUUCUAAAGCCUUGGACGUGUAUAAAUAGACAUAAUCACUUCUCCAAAGCCAAGAGACAAACAAAAGCCUAGAUCUAGCUAGAAACCUAACGCUGCUGACACCUCGUUGAACUGCCAUGUCCAUCCAUCACGUCGCCUCAACUGAGCCAAGAAGAGGAAGCAAGCUGAGAGGCUUCAAUCUUAAAACGCUAGAGCUGCUUCCCCUCGCCUCAAGGAGUCAAUGGUUAAAAAGCAAAACUGAUCAGACUUGCACCGCAAGUCACUAAACCAUGGACCGUCAUCAAAACCCCUACAUCCCUACUUGUUAGGCCAUUGGCCUUCACCUUAGUUACCGCGGUUAGCCUAGAUCCUUGCCAUGGACGAGUUACAAGGAGGUGAAUCAAGCCUCUUGCGUGUCACGCUACUCAAUCCUGAAAUCGUAGCUUCACUCCCAUCCUGAACCACCGUGAUAUUACUCUAAUCGGCCAUCAUUGCUGAUGGGACAACACCCUUCGCGUCUUCUCCAUAUGAAAAUUCCCCAUCUUAUAAUUCGUCUCUUAAGCGAAGGUGAGGGCUUUUUUCCAUAAUGAUUUGUUAUCUUUCCAUUCGACAGAGUUUAAUGUUAAACCGAGAUACCUACGAGACGAGCUAUAUAAGUUGAUUUUUAUUUGAAUGUGGUUUAUGACUAUACUUAAUAUAUAUAUACAAAGACAUGUAUGCUUGUCACACUGUUUUACUCGAAUGAACUUUAAAUCGUAUAAGGAUGAUCUUUAGGGUCCAAUAGUGCCCAUUUCAUGAUCUUUCCUCGCAAUGUUGCGAAUCUGACUGAACUUUGGUUUAAUUAUAAGUUUAUAACUAGAUUUUGAUCUGCACGACCUAUGAUUUUUUUCUAAUAAUCAAAUAUUUUAUGUUAUACAAUAAAAUAUAUAAAUAGAUUAAUAUAAUUUGGUGUUAUAUAUUAUCUAAUUUUAUAAUAAUAUUUUUGUGGCGUAUAAUAUUAUUACUAUAAAAUUUCUAAUUUUGUAUUUUUGUAAACAAAAUUUAUUUUGAAAACAUUAUUAGUUAAAAAUACUGAUUUACAUAAUUUUGUUUUAUUUCUAAAUUUAAAAUCUAUGUGGAAAUCAAAUUAAGUUGAAAUUACAUAAUAAUGAAUUUGGUAUAUAGUGAUUAAUUAAACCAUUUUGUAUAGUUGUUUAAAUAAUAAAACGAAUUAGUUUUUAACUCAUGAGAAUACACAAACGUUAAAAACAGUAGACUGAAGUCUUAUAUAUACGACAGGAAUAAAGAUCAAAUAUUUCAUCUAUGAAGGGAGGUGCAAAUUAAUUGUAUUAAACAUCUAAAAGUAUGACUUUUAAAUGGUCUAAAUAGAAAAAAAAUUGCAUAUGAAUUAAGUCAUAAUUUAUAUGCUAAAUAGAUAAAAUAUUUUUACUUUUAAAUUAAAAAUAUAAUGAACAUUUAUUAUAAAAACAUAUUUUAAAAUAUUUCUUAAAUUUAGUUUUGAAAAUUAAAUCAAUUAAAAAUUGUUAUUAUCAUUAAAAUAUUAUUAAAAGUAUUUUAUAUAAUUAUUAUUUUAUUUACAAUCAAAACUAAAUUAAAAUUUAGUUUUUAAUUAUACUUUGUGAUAAUUAAAAAUUUAAUUAACUAAUUUCGAAAAUAUAUUCUAAAAAUAUAUUCUAAAAAUAUAUUUGAAAGAUUUUGUUAGACAUUUCUUUAAGAUUUAAUAAUAAUUCAAAUAAAAAUAAAAUAUUAAAAGAUAUUAUAAUUAACUUAUGUAAAAUAUAUUAAAUUUCUUAGGAAUGGUCCAAAUAAAAAAUCACACAUGAAAAAAGUCAUGACUUCUAUUUUAAGGGGGGUGUUAGUGGGACUUAGAUUUCUAUAGAGUUUGUUGAUUUUAAAAGUUGAGAGAUUUGUUAAAUUUAGAAAAAAUUAUAGAAAAUUUUGUAUAUUGUGAAAAUCUAUAAAAAUAAAGUAAUUUAAUAAUUAUAAGAAUUCAAGGAAAACAUGUAGUAUUCUCAAAAUCUUGUUUUGUGAGUGAAAAUGUUAAGAAUUCAACUUCCAAUAACAUUUAUUUUAAUAGAUUUGUAGAAUCAUUUAAAUCUAAACUUUUUGGGGAAAAUUACAUGUUUACCACUUUCAUGGUACCACUUUUCAUUUUUACCACCACUAAUGAGACAUUUUCAAAAAUACCUUCUUCAUUAAGUAGCAAAAGACUCUUAUGCCCUUGUUAUUUAUAUAUAUAAUAAAUCAUUAUUUAAAUAAAAAAAUGUAAUUUUUUUUUAUGUUUUCGAAUUAUACUUUUUCAAAUUCGAACUUUUUGAUAAAUUUUUUUUUUUAUUUUUUUCGAUUUUUUUUUUAUUUUUUUUUCAAAUUUGUUUUUGAAAAACGAAAAUUAUGUUUGAAACUAUUUUAUAUAUAUUUUUUAAGUAUUUAUAUAUUUAUUAGAAUCAUAAAUUUCACAUUCCAAAAACCAUACCCCACCCCUCAACUCUAAACCCUAAGGCUAGAUUAGUUAACCCUAAGGGUAGGGGUGUCAAAAUUGGUCAUGACCCAUGGGUUGACCCAACCCAAAUUGACUCAUUAACCCAAAUGAACUGUUUAUUUUUGAUCCAAUGGAUUAAUGGGUUAAUAGGUUAAUAGAUUAAUAUGUUAAUGGGUUAACAAGUUAAUGGGUUUAUUGGGUUGAGUCAACUCUGACCCAUUUUGUUUGCAAUUAAAAAAACCGUGAGUAAACCACCCAAUUCUAAGGUUUGAUAGAAUUGGAAAAUCAUGAGUUUCUCAAAAGUUCAAUCAUUUAUUCGGUGGUAAAAUACGUUUCCCGGCAAAACCGCAAAAAUAAGUUUUUCCACUAAAACCGCGAAAAUACGUUUUUCAGCUAAAACCGCAAAAACGCGUUUUCCCGCCAAAACCGCAAAAACGCGUUUUCCUGCCAAAACCGCAAAAAACGCAUUUUUCCGCAAAAACCACAAAAACUCAUUUUUUCCGCAAAACCGUAAAAAUUUGUUUUCCCGCAAAACCGCAAAAACGCGUUUUACCGCCAAAACCGCAAAAACGCAUUUUUCUGCCAAAACCGCAAAAACGCAAUUUUCCGCAAAACGCGUUUUCCUGCAAAAACGCGUUUUCCCGCAAAAACACGUUUCCCGCAAAAACGCGUUUCCCGCAAAAACGUGUUUUCCCGCAAAAACGCGUUUCCCGCAAAAACGUGUUUUCCCGCAAAAACGCGUUUCCCGCAAAAACGUGUUUUCCCGCAAAAACGCGUUUUCCCGCAAAAACGCAUUUUCCCGCAAAAUCACGUUUUCCCGUAAAAACGCAUUUUCCCGCCAAAUCCUAAAAAUGUGUUUUCCCUCCAAAACCGCAAAAACGCAAUUUCCUGCAAAAACACGUUUUCCCGCAAAAACGCGUUUUCCCGCAAAAACACGUUUUUCCGUAAAAACGCGUUUUUCCCGCAAAAACGCAUUUUCCCGUAAAAACGCGUUUUUACGCCAAAACCCAAAAAGUGUUGUCCCUCCAAAACCGCAAAAACACAUUUUCCACUAAAACCACAAAACGCGCUUUCCCGCCAAAACUGCAAAACACGUUUUCCCGCCGAAACUGCAAAAACUCAUUUUCCCGCAAAAAUGCGUUUUUCCGCCAAAACCACAAAAAAAGUUUUCUCAUUUCGAUCAACUUGGUCUUAACUUAAAAAUAAUUCAUUAUAAAGAUGUUGGGUUGAUAAAGAUGUUGGGUUGAUGGGUCAACCAUUAACCCAUCUAACCUAUUUAAUUUAAUGGGUCAUGGACGGGUUGAGUUGACCCAUGACCCAUUAACAGUAAACCCAUUUGGGUUAUAGGUUGGGUUGACCCAUUUGACCCAUUUUGACACCCCUACCUAAGGGUAUAAUUAUAUUUUACCCUUCAUUAAAAGUGAGGGUAAAAGUGAUUAGUGUAAACAUGAAAAGUGAUACUAUGAAUGUGGUAUUUGUGGCAAUUUCCCAACUUUUUGAAUAACAAAUAAUUUUGUAUAAAAUUAUAGAAUCAUCAAACUAGUAACACAAGAUUUUAAUGAGAAUUUAAGAAUCUAUAAACCAAUAUUACUAGACUUCAAAUUUCUAAGACUCAUUAUAGACUAGAUUCUUACAUACGCUUAUAAAUCGCAUAACAAUUACCUAUCAAAUUUAACUUACUAAAAUCCAAAUUUAACUUACUAAAAUUUAAAUAUUUAACUUUAUUUCUGUUUAUGUGUAGGCCAGUUUUUUUUUGGUGAUAGCAGCAUUUGUUUAAGGUAAAACUAUAGGAUUUUACUUUACAGUAUGCUCAAUUUAUCAAAAAUUAUAAUUUAUUAUAAUAAUUUCUUGUAAAAUUACUAAAUAUUGAAAAUUUUUUUUAUCCAUUUGAUAAUUUAAAUAUUAUAAAAAAUAUUUUAUUUUCAUUUUUUAAAACAAAAAAAAAGUGAAUCAAUAUUUAUUAAUAGUAUUUUGAUAAUAAUUAUGAAUAGUUUGUUAUUUAAAAAAUAUUUUUUUUAAACUAAUAUUUUUUAUAGUAAAACAUAAAUAUAGAAAAAAAUAAAAGAUAUCAUUUAGUGGUAGAAUAAUCUAAUGUGCAUUGGUGCAUUGUAUUAAAAUGACCAAACUACCAUUAAAACUCUAGUCAUAGUUAUAAAUCUCGAAAAUGGACUUUUAGAUCUCCAACUAUUUGAAAUCAGUAUUUUAAUACUUACCUAUCACUUGCAUAUUUAAUCCCGAAGUCAUUAGUUGACUGCACAAAAUUAGACUUAGAAAUGUUAAAUGUUAAUUACUAGACAAAAACGUUAAUUGUAAUUAGAAAAUGGAUCGAGUUUGGCUUUCAAAACUCUAAAAUCCUUAAAAUCGAUUUUUAUGCGAUUCUAAGUGCAAAGAAGCGAUUCACGGUGACCAAAGAUUAAACAAAUGUACUUCCAGUGAGAGGAUGGUAAAAACCUACUUUGGAACUCGGACAUGAUUCAACAAAGCUUAUUCGUUUACCUUUCACUCUCUAUCGGAAUUGAAAUUCUGGAUGGUCCUCAAAUCAAUAAAAUUUCCCAACUUCUACCACUAGUUCCAAAGUAGGUUUUCACCAUCCUCUCACCGGAAGUACACUUGUUUAUUUCUCAGUCGCCGUGAAUCACUUCCUCUCACUCGGAGUAGCAUAAAGUGAAACAAUUUUAGGGAUUUUGGGGUUUUAAAAGCAAAACUUGAUCACUUUUCUGAUUGCAGUUAACGCUUAUAUUUAAAAUUAGAGAAAUACUCUAGGAUAUCACAUAAAAAGUUUAUGUCACAAACAUAGACUCUAAGGAUCAAAAUGACCAAAAUAUUAAAGAGGUAAUAUACACUUAUAUCCUUAGGGUCAACUAAUACAAACCUUAGGGUUUAAAGUUAAGGAGUGGGGAUUUGAGAUUAAGAUUUAAAUUUGAUAAAAUAAAAAAUAAAUAUAAAAUUUUUAAAAUAAAAAUGUUAAAAAUAGUUUCAAAAAGUAUUUUCGAAUUACAAAAAAAAUUUGAAAAAAAAAUUCAAAAAAUUUUUUAUAAAAAGUUCGAAUUUGAAAACAUAUAAUCUAAAACUAUAUAAAAAAAAUAUUAUUUUUUUUAUUUUUUUUAUAUAUCUAGGGUAUUAAAGUCCUUUUACCUAUUAAAUGAAACAUUUUUGUCAUUUUCUUCCUUGUAGUAUAUUUUUGUGAUCAAAACUUGAAAAUAGUUUAUUUAAGAGAAUUGCCCUUAAAAUUAACGUUUGACCUUUUUAAGUCUAAUUUUGCGCAUUCAACCAUGAUUUCGAGAUUAAAUCGCACAAAUGAUAGUUGAGUAUUAAAAAUGCUGAUUUCAAAUAGUUGAGGAUUUAAAAACCCAUUUUCUCGUUAUAAAUCAGUGGCAUUUUCAUAACAUACCACGUAAUUGUAAAAUUAUUUCAAUAUGUUAAUUUUCUUUACCUGGAUUUAUGUUUCCUCAUAAUGAAUAAGCAAAAUAUCUAAUUAACCAAACACAAAUUAAAAUCCAAGAUCAUUAAUUUUUUGUGGAAUAUUUGUGUUUGUGACGUCAAUCUCAGUUUGAUUCCAGUAUCCAGUGUUCGUUUGGAUGUUAUAAAACUGAUCUCUUGAACAAAAUCUAGAGAACUUGCUUCACAAGUUCUUACAUGACCAAAUAGGUCAACAAGGUCACAAAUCAACGUCGGCCAGGUCGUAUAAGCGACCAAAUGAGCAGUCAACACAUUUCCCGUUGCUUUCGUCGUUGCGUCGUUGGAUUUAUUAUACUUUUCAACCACAUACGAGAAACAAUACUAGCUAUAAGUUGCUUACGUCGUUGACUCCGUUACUCUUUUAAUGGUCGUCGCAAUGCUUUUUUGUUAUUAUUAUUAUUAUCUUUUUUGGACAAAUGCUUUUUUGUAUUUAAAAAUAGAAAAAACUAUGUGGGUCAUAGUAUUAGAUUCCUGGUAGUUUCCUAUGCAAUUUCUAUAUAGUGGAUAUCUUAUUGCUUGCAAUUGUCAUCAAGAAGGUUCAACAUCGCAAGACGCAAGCCAUACCUCAUAUCGUUCUUUCUUUGAUAAAUAUAUCGGAAAUUUCUCAAGCUUUACUCUAGUAUUCUUCAGCCAUGACCGCUAAGGUAUCCUUUUCUUUCAUAUUUUUUCUAUCUGAAAAUAAUUAUAUUUAACUUAAUGAUCUUUGAUUGAUCGUUAUAUAUAUAAACCAUUUAGUCAAACUUAUUUCAUAAAUAUACAAUUAUAACCAUACUGAUCUCAAGUUUGAAAUUACAGAAAGCUGUGUUGCAAUUGAGUGUCCACGAUGAGAGAAUCAGGAAGAAAGCGUUUGUGACCGUCUCUCGAUCUCAAGGGGUAACUUCGAUAACAAUGGAUGACAAAACAGGGAAAAUGACAGUAGUUGGAGAAGUUGAUACACCGGUUCUCGUGAUGAAGCUAAGGAAACUGUGUAAUGCAGAAAUCGUUUCGGUUGAAGUUGUUAAACCACCUGAGAAAAAGCCUGAACCGGCGAAACCGGCUCCAGCUAAACCUGAUACGGUUAAACCGGCAGAAAUUGUUGCCUUUCCAGUUACGCAUAUGAACUACCCGUACCAAUAUCAUUCUUCCUUUGCGAAUUCGCACUAUCAGCCA
rnacentral:lncRNA from 1 species